ACGAACGCUGGCGGCGUGCUUAACACAUGCAAGUCGAACGGUGACGGAGAGCUUGCUCUCCUGAUCAGUGGCGAACGGGUGAGUAACACGUGGGCAACCUGCCCCUGACUUCGGGAUAACGCUUCGAAAGAGGUGCUAAUACCGGAUACGAGUCCUCUAGGCAUCUUGAGGACUGGAAAGUUUUUCGGUCAGGGAUGGGCCCGCGGCCUAUCAGCUUGUUGGUGAGGUAAUGGCUCACCAAGGCGACGACGGGUAGCCGGCCUGAGAGGGCGACCGGCCACACUGGGACUGAGACACGGCCCAGACUCCUACGGGAGGCAGCAGUGGGGAAUAUUGCGCAAUGGGCGAAAGCCUGACGCAGCAACGCCGCGUGGGGGAUGAAGGCCUUCGGGUUGUAAACCUCUUUCAGCAGGGAAGAAGCGAAAGUUACGGUACCUGCAGAAGAAGCACCGGCUAACUACGU
rnacentral:rRNA from 1 species